AUCUCCCCUCCCCAUUUGGAUCCUCCGCCACCGGUUCCCCAUUGCUGCCUCCACCGCCCCCGCUCCUCGCCGGUUCCCCAUUGCUGCCUCCACUGCCCUCGCUCCGAGGAGGGCCACGACGGCCAGAUCCUGGACUCAUUGUCGCGUACCUGGAUCCAGGGGAAAUGGCGGAACACGGCGAACGCGAGCGUGACGGCGGGGUUCAUGUGCGCGCCCGAGAUGUGGCCGACGGCGUAGAUCAUGACGGUGACGAUGAGCCCGCCGGCGACCGACUGCCCCAGCUGCGAGAUGCGGUCCUUGUCGCUACCGUAGAUCCCUGCCGCCCCGCACAUGACGAACACCAGCAGGAACGUGGACACCACCUCCGAGACCACCUGUCGAUCGAUAACCAUGGGAGGAGCACCACCACCACAAAGCACUCUCAUGCAUCAGUCGAUCUCCGGCCGCCGGUACUUGAUUCUGAAUAACAAAUAAU
rnacentral:misc_RNA from 1 species